AUCGUAUCUCAGUAUCUGAGUCUUGAAACCUUUAAUUAUGGAAAAGGUGGACCAGAUCUUAAAAGUGUAUCAAGACAUGCUCAAUCUCGGCUACCAAGAAUAGAUUUAAUUUACAUAUGAUGCGAUGAUGAGAAACAGAUAGAUUAAUAUUAACAGAUCAAGAUCAACCAUCAUAAAAUUCUUAAGUAUAAAGGAACUCAUCACUUUAAGACCUGAGAUAACUGAUCACUCCAAACCUACGGUGGAAGGGGUUAGAGAAACCAUAGGCCACUAUAUUGCAAGCAACAUCAUACAGUCUCAAAAAAAACAAGGAAGGAGUAAGAAAACUCUUAGUGUUUCCAGAUCAGCACACAGGUACAUCCAGAUCAACCAUCAGUACUGCACGAUCAUCCAUCAAGUACUGCAAGACUGCAAAUCAACUGUCAAGUACUGCCAGAUCAACUUGCAAGUACUGUCAGACCAAGAAAAAAAACCCAAUGUAUUUCAAAAUCAAUGUUCAUUUUAAACACCACGGUAACACUUUUAUUUUUUAAAUGUAAUUAGAUCUGUAAAAGUAGUGUUAGUUCCACUAGUGAUUUCAUCAGGAGAAAAUGUCUCUCCAGAUUACGGCUUUAUAGCCACAGUUGUACAAUGAGAAGAGUAGUUAGGCAAUUAGACAUCCACAGUAUGAUUGUUAUAAUAGAUUCCUUCUACAACACUUGUACGUUAUGUCCGUUAUUGCUUCUGAUGCAAUGCAUAUUCAGUUAUAAAUAUUUCUGUUGUGAAACAUACAUAUUAAACAUAAACAGCAGCACCAGGGACCAAAUUUUUUAAAAGAGAACAUUGAUUUAACAAUCAAGAAACAAUAUUUCAUCUAUACAAAAAUAUUUAUAUACAUAUAUGAAAAUCAAAAUGAGAGAAGUUUCUGAAGUUAACUAUUUCAUCACUAUACAGAGAUGUCUAACAAUAACUGUUCCGUCCUUAACAAAAAGAACAUAACUCCCCAUUUUUAACACAUUCUUAAAAAGAAUAAACUAAUGAAGCAAAUUAAUUAAAAAUGUUGACAGAUUACAUAAUAUAUGAAUAGAUGAAGUUUAAUAACAAGCAAAAUAUUAUAAAACAAAAGUACAAAGAAAUAUUUUUUCCUGGAGUACUUGUCAUUAGAAUGACUUGGAAUUGUCAGUGUGUCAUGGAAUUUUGCAAAAUAUUGGAGCUUCUUAUUUGGCAGAGGUUACAUCCAUAAAUG
rnacentral:sRNA from 1 species